rnacentral:rRNA from 1 species
UACGUAGGUGGCAAGCGUUGUCCGGAAUUAUUGGGCGUAAAGCGCGCGCAGGCGGUCCUUUAAGUCUGAUGUGAAAGCCCACGGCUCAACCGUGGAGGGUCAUUGGAAACUGGGGGACUUGAGUGCAGAAGAGGAAAGCGGAAUUCCGACGUGUAGCGGUGAAAUGCGUAGAGAUGUGGAGGAACACCAGUGGCGAAGGCGGCUUUCUGGUCUGUAACUGACGCUGAGGCGCGAAAGCGUGGGGAGCAAAC